rnacentral:lncRNA from 1 species
ACUCUGAGUAAAUAGAAAGCCAUUGGAGGGUUUUAAGCAGAGGAGGAACAUGCUCUGACUUAUGAUUUCGAAAGAUCACUGUUGAGAAUAGACUGUAAGGGGGCAAUGGUGAAAGUUGAUAGACCAUUAAUAGUCUAGAUGAGAGAUGACCAUGUCUUCGAUGAGGGGGUAGGAGUGAUGAUGAUGAUAAAUUAUUGGAUUUUGGAUAUAUUUUGAAGGCAGAACCAAUAGGCUUUUCUGAUGAAAAUGAUGUGAUAUGAGAAAAAAAUGACAAAAAGGUUGUGGGUGAUGAUGAGAGAAGAGAAUACAAGGCCAAAGAGAAGGGAUUUCCCUUGUUGUGGAGGAGUCUCACUCACCUUGAAGCAGGAGGGAAAGCAGGGAUCUGGGUGGAAAAAGAUCUAGAGAAUCCUCAUCUAAGCAGAAGAUGAAGGAGUAAAGAGAGAAAGAUGGGUGUAUUGGAAGCUUGCGGGUGAUGGAGAAAGUUUCAAAUAAUUCUUGGAAAAUAAGUUGAAAAAAGAAACGUAACACAGUUGUUAGAGCAGGGCAUGAUUGCUUGUGCCUAUAGUCCCAGCUACUUGGGAUCCUGAGGCAGGAGGAUCUCUUGAGCCCAGGAGAUGGAGGCUGCGUUGAGCUGUGUUUAUGCCACUGCACUCCAGCCUAAGCGACAGAGCAAGACUCCAUUUCUUAAAAAUAAAACAAAAAUGUAGUUGUUAGUAUUGAGGGCCCAUAAGAAGUUGGUGAUGAUGAACCUAUCUACGCUUUUGAUCACCUCCAGCAGAGUUUGACUGUUGCGUGCAAGCAAAGAGAAAGGAGAUGGCGGGGUUCAAUGAGGGCUGUCGUUUUCCUAGAUAGGUUUGUAGAAAAAACAGAGAGGAAGGGAGUUUAAGGGAUUGGCAAAAAGGAUAUAGUAAUAACAGACCAUGGAAUAAAAAUUGAGUAAGAAGGAAAGUGAAAACAGCUGAAGGCUAAUGAAUUGGGAGAAAGCAGAUGGAUCAAUAGACUGGAGGCCCCAAUAUUUCUAAGAGCAGUUGGAGUUGUUGUCAUGCAAGUUGGAAGGAAAGAUGCUUAUCCAAAAGCUGAAUGCCUGAAUCAGUAAUCUUGCGGCAGAGCUAUUGUAGGUGAUGACAAGGUCAGUCCUUUGAAGUCUAUGCAUAUAUAUCUUCAUUAUAGGCUGACUUGCCAAGUCUUAGAAUUUUUACAAUAUAACCUCACUGUGGAUCUCAUCUAAGCAGGUUUGGUAACCAAAAGCUCAAGAGCGUGAGAUUGAGACCCCAGAGAGCUCAUAGCCUGUCACAAACCAGCUGUGUAACCACGGACCUUGAGGAAAUGAACCUUAUGGUCCCUUCCGUCUCUAAUCUGUGACUCCAUAGCCCCAUUAUAAUAUAGCCUUUUCCCAAACACUGACCUUCAACAUAGACCCUGGGGGAUUUUUCUAUUAAAAAUUUGCAACUCUGCACAUUUUUAUCUGCUGAUGCCUCUUGGAAUAUUAAAUGCUUAGAAAGCUGUCGUCGGGAUCACAUUCUGGAAUCUUGACCAUGUAGUCAUCUGAGUGGGUGUGACAGGAAGUAUACACCAGCAGCAUUUGUGUCUGAGUGUCCUUCAGACACUGGGAUGGCUGCACCUUUACCCGUCCUCUCCAACUCUCUCCACCUAGAAAGUAUUCUUUUCUCUUAAUUUUGUUAGAGUUAUAUAGGAAUGCUCCUUCAGCAGAAAUGACAGAGGCUGUUGCUCUCAGAAUCAAAUGCAAUAAUGUGACCUGUAAAUUCCUGUGAAUAUUUGGAUAUUUUAGCGAUAUUUGUUUAUUCAGAAGAGAUUCUGGAUGCAGAACUCUCCUCCUCUCUGUUCUCUAACCCUGCUUUCCACCAUCAUUCUUCUCUCUCUAGGGCACAGAGAGAAUUAAGAACAACCUAAGUUUUCUAGGGUCAUUACAAUGAUCUAACUGCCUUACCUGCUUUUGAACUGGUUGAGCCUCUUGUGGGACCGAAAACAAAAGAAGGGUGUUGAAAUGCAAAUAGAUAACUCUGGGUCCCAGUCCCUGACUGCAAAAGGAAGCCAAAACUGACAACAACGUCUCCUUCUCUACGGAGGUUUGUAGAAAGGCUGUACAAAAAUCUCACAAGAUGUAUUUCUUCUCGUGGACUGGAGUCCCAAGGUGCUUAAGAGCUCUUCAAUUUGUUAAUGGAAAGAAACACCAUUUACACCGGAUGGCUACAAAGCAACCUUAUUCUGAGAGAGAGGAUCUCAUUCUGUCACCCAGGCUGGAGUGCAUGAUCAUAGCUCACUGCAGCCUCGACCUCCUGGGCUCAAGUGAUCCUCCUGCUCCAGCCUCUCAAGUAGCUAGGACUACAGAUCUUUUCUCAGAAUAGCAGUCUGUAGGCUGUCACCUAAAGUGUCCUGUUUUCAGUGCUGCACCUGCUCUGAGCUUCAUCUUUUUACGAAGACGUCAUGGUGUGCUAUCUGUACUGGGAAACUUUCCCCAGCAUCAGCCAUCUCCUGAAGAUAACAUUGUCUGCUAGAGAUUGUCAUGUAUGUGGAUUGAAUCUCUUUAUCUUCAUGGUCCUCUUUCUGUGCCCCCAGCCCGGUUGACAAUGUGUGCCUUCACUCACCCAAUUAGAAACCUUGGAGGUAUCCUGUACUCUUCUGUCACUUACCCUCAGCCUAAAGCCAAUCAGUCACCAAAGUAUUGUCUGUCAUUAUCAUCAUCAUCAUCAUCAUCACUGUCACCACUGAUGGAGUGAGAACCUUGUGCAGUUGAGCAUGAACCCCAAUUUCAUUUGCAAAAUGACCCAGACAGCAGAUUUCAUCUCAUAUGAAAUAAGCAAGGUGAGGUUUUGAUGACGUUACAGACAUGGCUAAGAAGAGGUUGAGAACCAGCAUUCAGCCCACCUGACUCCAAAGCUCAUGCCCCGAACCUCAGAAACUUCUCCAGUGAGUUCCUUUUUUUUAAUGGCAGGAUCACACCAUUAGUUUGGACUGGAUCCAACCUGGAUUGUUGCAACAGCCUUUGAUCUGAUCUGUCAAGCCCUGUGCCUUCUGUGCAACCCAUUCUCUACCCUGGCACGAGCAUUACUAAAAUACCAAUCUGGUCCUAUGACUCCUCUGCAUAAAAACCACGGCUGGGGCUGGUCAAGUGCAACAGUGUUUACAACUAAUUGAUCACAACCAGUUACAGAUAUCUUUGUUCCUUCUUUAGCCAAAAACAAACAGAAAAACAAACAAAACCCAAAUAACAAAAACAAACACAAAAAACCCCCCAUUGUUUGUUCCCUUUUGCAUCUUUUGAAUUCUAAACUCCUCACAUAGCAUAAAAUCCCCUUCUGGGUCUUUUCCCAGCCUACAACCCACUUCCCCACCUGCCCCAUUCCCCCUGUUGCUCCUACCUCUGGCCUUACUUCAGCCCCAGGGUCCCCUGCUGGACAUGGCAGGCCCAGCACAUGCUGCCCUGGGCCCUUUCACUUUGCUUUGUGACAUAUUUUUCAUCCUUCAACCUUCAGCUCAUAAGCCAUAUUCUCUGUGAAGGCAUCCAGAGGGCCCGAGACAGCCCCUCCCACCUGUGUUCCUCAGAGCAUUCUGUGCCCAUAAUUAGGGUGAACACAUUUCUGAAUCAGCAGUGGAAAUGUUUCAGUUCAGACAGUUACGCAUGUGCCCCUGAAGGCAAUGGGACAGUUAAUAGAGCAAAGUCCAGAAGAAACUCUUGGAGAUGAUUCCUCUUUAUCUGUCUGCUACCCUGUAGAGGGGUGGGGAAGGUACUUCCAGGGUAGAGAGCUGUGGGUGGCCCUUGUAUCUCUUGGAGAUGAUUCCUCUUUGUCUGUCUGCUACCCUGUAGAGGGGUGGGGAAGGUACUUCCAGGGUAGAGAGCUGUGGGUGGUCCUUGUAUUUGCCCACACCUGACACGAUGCCUAACUGUUGUUUGCUGAAUGUAUGAAGACUAUGCCAGGCCUGAGAUUCUUUUGAACAUAACCAAAUGUCAUGUGUAAAUUUCUCCAAAUAACCAACCAACAAACCCAGCUCUUUAUAACAAUGGACAAUCCAGCAUGAGUAUUAGGACUCUGUUUAAGUCUCAGGUUUAUCACUAGAACAAUUCUCAUAGACACACUUCUUCAUCUGUAAAAUGGGGAUAAUAGUAGCUACUUACGGGAGUUGCAGUGAAGACUCUGUGAAUGAAUUGAAGGAAAUUAGCAGGCACAGAGUCUGGCAAAGAAGUCUUUGUUUCAGGCACAAAGAUAUGUGUAGCUCAUCACUAUAAACAGGAACUAGAAGGCAAGGUCAUGUUCUAGAAUAACUUUUAAAAGUUAGGAUAUUGUUGGGAAUUUUAAAAGGUAAGACAAUUAAAAAUAUGACUAAUAUUUGUCAGCUUUUUUUUUUUUUUUUUUUGAUACAGAGUCUUGCUCUUUUACCCAGGCUGGAGUGAAGUGGCGCCAUCUCAGCUCAUUACAGCCUCUGCCUCCCGGGUUUAAGCGAUUCUCCCUCCUCAGCCUUCUUGAGUAGCUGGGAUUACAGGCACCCGCCAUCAUGCCCGGCUAAUUUUUGUAUUUUUAGUAGAGACUGGGGUUCACCGUGUUGUUCAGGCUGGUCUUGAACUCCUGACCUCAAGUGAUCCACCCACCUCGACCUCCCAAAGUGCUGGGAUUACAGGCUUGAGCCACUGCGCCUGGCCUCAUUUGUUAGCUUUAACAUAUGAAGAGACAUCCUCCUAAAUGUUAAAGUACUCUUUGACAUUUUACCUAUGCAUUUUACAGUUGGGCUGGGAGAGAUGUGACUCCCGGUUUGUUUUGCCUCACCUUUGCAUUUCAUCAGCUGUGUCUGAUCCCAGCCUAGCCUGUGUGUCGGAAUCACUUGGAUGAGUGUUUUACAGACUCCUGGGCUCUACCCCAAACCCACUGAAUCAGAAUGGGGACAGGAAGGGAACUGUAAAUCUACAUUUAUGAAAACCUCCCCUUGUGGUUUUGAUAGUCUGCAAGGUUUGGGAAUCACUAGUUCCCAAACACACCAGUAGAAAAGCAUAUAGUAAUUAACAUUCUCAAUUUCUCAGCUUUACAGUGUUUGUAAUUAAAAAUUUUUAUUUGCUUUUUUGUAAGCAAUAUUAGCUUUCUCAAUGUCUGUUUCACCUUCACUGCAGUCUGUUUAUCCAGCCUGGGAAAAAAACUGGCUCCACUUAAACAAUGAGACAAAAAAGGUGCAAACCUGACAGCUUCCCUACCUUUUUUGCAUUAGCGUGUAGGUAUUUCCUCCAUGUCCUACCAGGGCCAUUUAAAUGCUAAUAUAGUUAAGUACAACAAUCUUUUUAGCAAUCAGAUGGAAUUGUUUUUUACCACAAUCUUAUUUCUCAUUUCUCCAGUCCGUACUUUUCCUUUUUUGGGGCAGGGUGGGGGUAGGGCUAGAGGGGCAUACAUUUAAAUUCUUUGACCUUUCAAACCUUAACAAAAAUUCUCUCCUAAUAUCUUCUCAGCAGUUCUUGCAAUGUGUGUAUCCUCUAAACCUGAGCUCUGUAAUUUGAAUGUGCUGAGUCACCUUGUCUUUGCAGGGUCAAACAUUUUGCAUCCAGGAAAAGUACUGCAGAAAAUCACACCAUUAGCAGCUAGCUGGUAUGUUAUUUGAAUAUUUGAAUACAAAUAGGAAGACUGGAAAGGAGAAAGUUACUGUGUACAUAGAUACAUAGUAACUUACAUAUACUUAAAACAACCUUUUUUUUUUUUCUAAUAGUCUGCUAAGUCCUCUUUCUGAUUGAUGACUUUUUUGUGUGUGAAAUUCUCUAAAUAUUUAUUUGUGUUCCUAGAAAGUGAAAAUGAAUAUAAAUGGUAAAGCAGUUGCCUUGCAAUGUUUAAUAAAAGGAGAAAAUAGUCUUUGCUAUUAUACUGAAGCUUUGCAUAAUUAAGAUUCUUGAAUUAAUUUUAAAGAAUUAAUAACAAAAAAAUACAAUCAUGAACCAGAUAUUGAGAGUUAAUGUCUAAUUUAAGUUCAACUUUUAGGGAGUCCGUUUUCCUAUUUUGAUCAUGUAGUUGAAUAGACAGUGAGGAGAUGUUACUACAACUGUAUUAAUAGAGGAAGUGGCAGGAAGCUACAGUUUCCUUAGAAUCAGAAAGAAAGUUUAUAGAACUCACUGGAAAUGAGGGUUAUAGAUAAAGAUUGAAGUAGGAAUAACUUCUAUUUAGAAUUGCUAUUGUAUUUUUGUAACAUAAGAGUGGUUUUCUUUAAAGUAAGUAUUUGGGGCUAAAGAGAAUGCCAACACUCCACUCACAGGGAAGUCGGAAAGCUUACCAGUAUUAACAAACAUCCGAAGUCAUUUCACAAGGUGGAAGUUUACUAUAGAACCAGUAAACAUAAUCUUCCUCCAGGGUGUUUUGAGUCAUGAAUGGGGAGCAACUUGCUCCCUUCGUGGAUGGAGCACUGGGGACAAGCUUCUCUGCAUCAGAGCCUGUGAAAUAUCAAUAGCAACAGCUACUGUACUCUGAGUGCUCACUUCCUCUAUGCCAGAGGCUGGCUCUGGUCUUUAAUUGAAUUCGCUCACUAUACAGCCCCCUAUACAGAAGGAACGCUAAUUUUCAAUACCUUAAAGAGGCCAAAUCAUUCCCACAGCAUUAGUGGCAGAGGGGGUAUUUGAACCCAGGCAGAAUGACUCGAACUCCCUGGUAAUUAGCCAUGGUGGAGAAUGUCUCCCAGCUCACAAAAAUGACUACUCACUGGCAAGUAACACUAAGUACAGAAAGAAUGUCAUCAGUUGGUUGGUGUUCUUGCUUUCUCUCCGUGAACAAUUAAGAGGGCGCAGAGGUGAGAUGGGGUGGGGUGGGAUAAAGGGAAGGCCUGGAAGAAGGGACAGAAGGGCUGCAAAUAAUCACCCGGGAGCCCAGUGAGACUCAGAGAAAGAUUCUAACCUAAAAUACUCUUCUGCUGUCAGCUAUUCUGUAAUUAACAUCCACAGAUGAAAACAUGAAGUGUAUUAAAAAUCCUUUGUGUUUUUUUUCAAUUUUGACUGAUGGACAUAAUAUAAUGACUUGAUAAUUAAAAAAAAAGAAAGAAAGAAAACCCACAAAACCCAACAACCCAAAAUUCUAAACUAACUGCUUUUCAUCAUUCUACUCCCUGAUUAGACAUGGAAUUGGGCUCGUUACUACGGGUAGAACAAUGGCCUGUGUUGGGCAGGACAAGGGCAUGGAAGCUCUCCAGCAAGCAGCACAGUGGGACAGCACAGGCUUCUAGCAGGCAUGGUUUCAGUCUCAAUUGUUUACAAGCCUUGGGAUCUGGAACAAUUGAUUUGAGCCCUACAACAUUAGAAUGGUUCCUUUUCUCAGGGCCUAAUAUGGGGUCAGAGAAGGCACUCAGCAAGGAGGGUUUUUUCAGAGGCCCAGGAAGAACUAGUUCAGAGGCCGAGCCUCCUGGGAGAACACGUAGAUGAGUGGGGUCAGGUGCCUGUGUCUGAGAUCUAGCUCAGGUCAGGGCAGUUUUCAUUGAGAAGGUGACAUUUGAACAAAGAUUUGAAGUUGCUGAGUGAGUUAGCCAUGUGGGAAUCUCAAUAGAAGAGAUUUCCAAGCAGAGGAAACAACUAAGGAGAAACAGGAAAUUGCCUUCUGGCAAGAUGUAGGAACAGCAAGGAAGUAAGUGUGGCUGAAACAGAGUGAGUGAGGGGUAAAGUAGUUGAAAGUGAGGUCGGGGAGUAAGAGAGUCAGACUGGCCAGCAUCAUUUUAAGGACUCUGAGUUUUAACUAUGAGAGGAACAUGGAGCCAUUGCAAAGUUCUGAGCAGAGGAGGACAUGUGACUGAGAGUUUAAAAAGAUGGCUCUAAGCCAGGUGCAAUGGCUCAUGCCUGUAAUCCCAGCACUCUGGGAGGCCGAGGCAGGAGGAUCACUUGAGGCCAGGAGUUUGAGACCAGCCUGGACAACAUAGCCUGACCUCAUCUCCACUAAAAAAG